ensembl:lncRNA
AGGGUUUCUACCAUCAGAUCUUUCCACGACGGACUCAAGGUUUCUGCCAUCGGAUCCCUCGCUACAGACUGCAUGCUGACGGACUUCCCUGGGCCUGCUACCUGAGACCUGCUGCUUCCUUCCGGGCUUACUCUGCGGCUUCUUCCUGGACCCACCCGAUACCUGCACCCUCUCGUUGCCCAAGACCGGCCUCGCUGCUCCUGCCCUUCGGCCUCGGGCCAUCGGAACGUCGUGCAAGGGGACUACUGCCGGAUCCUGGUGGGAGAAGCAUUGUAAAACAAUACAGUAUCUUAAUCCUGGCACUUCCACGAAGAAGGAGCUUCAAAUGAAAGAAUAACUGUAUUUCUUAUAUACAUAAUAAGAAACUUCUUAUGAGAAGAAGCUUUAGAAAUGUAUGUAAAGAAAGAAAUUACAUGAUAUUGUUUGAAAUGGAGACUGGCUAGGUAGAAAUAAUUCAAGGAUGUGGAAGGAAAAAAAGGAGGAAACACUGAGAAGACUUUAUGUAAAUGAAUAAAUGGGUUGAAGAUAAGGAAGCAGCACAGUUAGCAGCACACACAAUUCUGGAAUUUCUGCUGCUCAUCAAUAGCAGAGGUGAACUUUCAGAUUUUUUUUUAUGCAUUGAAAAGGAGAUAUUUUAGAUAUAUCCUCAAUCUUUGAAAUCUGCUUGCUCUUAAUCUUAAAUAUAGUUCAAAAAUAGAUUUUUAUGAUGAAAACUCAGAGAAAGCAUGAGGAGAUCACUGGAUCAGGAAAUUCCUUACUUGACUAAAUACUUUAUUUGAUAGUUUGUCUUAAAUUUGUUGUAAGAAAACUGAUUAUUGAUUAAAAAUAGAUGAUGAAAGUACAUAUAUAGUUUGGAGGAAUACAUAAAAAUUAUAAAAAUAAAAUAAAAAUAUAUACUUAAGAUUAUUAAAAUGGUUAAUAUACUAGCACAUUUUAGUUUCUUGACUGUAGAAUUUUACUACAAUUUAUACAUUUCUCUAGUUAUAUAUAUCCUUCCUAGAGCAUGAUACUAGUUUUUUUAAUAGUAUUUUGUUAAAGAAAACAGAAAAAAAAGUGCAAAUUUCAAUUUGUAUUUCUCUGAUGCAGUGUUUUCAGAGAUGUUCAGUGUUUUUCAGAUGAUCAAAGCAAAGCAUUUUGGAUACCGAUUGUAAUCUAAUAUGAUUUGUUAGAAAAUCUGCUACCAUAGACUUUCAAAUUUAUUCCUCAUCCUGAAAACCAUUUGUCUUCUAAUCAUGUGACAAAACUCUGGACGUAGACAAGAGGUUGCUGCAAUAAUUUUUUUCUGCAUUUUAUUGUUUCUGAGCCAUUAAUAAACCAUGCAAGCUUU